UACGGAGGGAGCAAGCGUUACUCGGAUUUACUGGGCGUAAAGCGCAUGUAGGCGGUUUAUUAAGUCUGUUGUGAAAUCCCUGGGCUUAACCCAGGAAGUGCAGUGGAUACUGAUAAACUAGAAUUCAGGAGAGGAGAGUGGAAUUCCUGGUGUAGAGGUGAAAUUCGUAGAUAUCAGGAGGAACACCAGUGGCGAAGGCGGCUCUCUGGACUGACAUUGACGCUGAGAUGCGAAAGCGUGGGUAGCAAACAGG
rnacentral:rRNA from 1 species